rnacentral:rRNA from 1 species
CCUACGGGAGGCAGCAGUGGGGGAUAUUGCACAAUGGGGGAAACCCUGAUGCAGCGACGCCGCGUGUGGGAAGACGGUCUUCUGGAUUGUAAACCACUGUCCCCAGGGACGAAAAUGACGGUACCUGGGGAGGAAGCUCCGGCUAACUACGUGCCAGCAGCCGCGGUAAUACGUAGGGAGCAAGCGUUGUCCGGAAGUACUGGGUGAAAAGGGAGCGUAGGCGGGGAUUAAAGUUGGGUGUCAAAACUACCGGCUCAACCGAUAGUCGCACUUAAAACUGCAACUCUUGAGUGAAGUAGAGGCAGGCGGAAUUCCUGGUGUAGCGGUGAAAUGCGUAGAUAUUAGGAGGAACACCAGUGGCGAAGGCGGCCUGCUGGGCGUUUACUGACGCUGAGGCUCGAAAGUGUGGGGAGCAAACAGGAUUAGAUACCCGAGUAGUC